CGGGACCCGCCCGCCUGAGCGACGGCGCCGUCACCAAUACGAAGGCUCCGAGGCACGCAGCCCCGAAACGGCCAGCCUAUGACAAGAGAGAAAUUCACCCAGGGCUCCUCCCCCGGCAGUGCCGACCGCACCCCUCGGGCCACGAGCUUCGCGCGCAGGGCGGCAGCUCAGUUUGUACACAAGUUCUCUGACAGAUCGGGCUGACGGAGCCGGGGGCGGAGGGAAGGAGAGCAGCGGAUGGAAUCUAGGAAGAGGGGGAACGAGGGUGGAGACGCGGAGGGAGAUCUCUUCGGAGUGUUCCCUGCCAGGAUUAGGAAGAAAAAGAGUAUUGCACGUCUUAGGUGUUGUGCAAGGACUCUGAAACUCAGAAGCUGAAACCCAUAAGGCAGCUAACUAGCAGUGAACGUAUCCAUGUAGCAAAGCAAACUCGGUGUGCCUUGGAUAAAAGCACUGUAUGUUCGAGAAAAUAGUUUAAUUUACAGAAGAGAACAGCACGUUUACCUAAUACCGUGACACCUUUUCCUACGAAAAGACAACCAAGGAAGCCAGCAAACACUAGACACGCAGCACCUUUGAAAAUUAGGAAUCCAAAUUUGUAGGAAAGUAACAGCUAUGAUCGCUGCUCUCAGAGAAUGGCUGAUGACUACUUUCAUGUAACCAAAGUAUUUAUUUCUUGAUCGGUUAAGCAGUGGGUGAAUGCCCGCCGUCGUGAGCUCACGCAGGAAUGCAGCCGUGGGGAUGGAUGAGCAGCAGGCGGCUGACUGCAUUAAAGGCGAAGAUAAACACGGAUGGUACUGAAGUCGUCCCAAGCGCACCGAGGGCUACAGCGUAGUAUGAUGUCCGCUAGCGAGGGGUUUCCUUCAUGCGUGCCACUCACCGAAGGGACCCAUUUAUUUCUACGACAACUGGGGCUUGAUCAGCGGGCCUUGCGUUUGCUGUGAGCACUGACCUCCGCGGUUAAUGUGUAACUGCUAAUUGUUCUGCUCUGUGGUCACCUACACUUCACAGCAGAGAAACACAGGGUCCGCUCAGCCCCUUCAUCGCGCAGGCGCACCCCCAGGCAGUGCACAUCCUUGCUGGGGCGAUGGUGUGUGGCCCACACCCCUUUUGGGAAACACUUGGAGGUGCGAAGUGGCUGUCUCAGCCCUUACUGGAUGCUUUGCUAUGAUAUUUACAGCCUUGCAAAGAGCAAGGGUACGCCUCUGACAAAUUAAAGAAAAAAGAAGACGGAAAAUAACCUCUAAUGGUGACAGGAGAAGUGGUGGAUGAUAAUGCUGUAGAAGAGGAACUACUUCCGCUUUAAUGAAAGCAAAUUACCCU